ACCGGUGUGCGGUGCCUGCCUGAACGUUGGUGUCUGUGUAUGCGUGUCUUUGCGGCAUCACACGUCAACUACACUGAACGCAUACACCUGCAGCACCUUUGGAACUAAUGACACAAAGGUCAAGGCCAGCCUGGCGACCAUGCUUGCCAAGGAGUAGUAAGGUGCACUAUACGAAUACAACGAUCAGUUCUGCGGAAUACCCAAUAUGCUCUGUCAUAUGGCUUGGGAGUGCAAUGGUGUCACUGAGGUGCCAGCUGACCAGUGACGACUGGCGGACCGAACGAGGCGGACAGCCGAGGGCCAUAGCAUCCCGUACUAAGGAAGCUACCCAUCUGAGGCUGUCAUAUGCA